UACGUAGGGGGCAAGCGUUAUCCGGAUUUACUGGGUGUAAAGGGAGCGUAGACGGUAUGGCAAGUCUGAAGUGAAAGCCCAGGGCUUAACCCUGGGACUGCUUUGGAAACUGUUAGAUUAGAGUGCUGGAGAGGUAAGUGGAAUUCCUAGUGUAGCGGUGAAAUGCGUAGAUAUUAGGAGGAACACCAGUGGCGAAGGCGGCUUACUGGACAGUAACUGACGUUGAGGCUCGAAAGCGUGGGGAGCAAACAGG
rnacentral:rRNA from 1 species